UAUUGAAGUUUUUCUAAAAUAAAUGCAGUUAAUAUUUAGCCAUAUUACCGUUGUUUAAAAUCGAACUAGUCCGCUCAUUUUACAAUUUUUCGCUUCAUCUCAGCAACUAAAUAUCUGAAACUCUCUUCUGGAGAUUGAAAAUUCAAAUUCAAUUUCGUUCAAAUGUUGUACGAGAAUCCGUUCUGAUUCUAGCUGUUGUGCGUGUUUGAAUGGCGGACGUUGUGGCGAACCAAGUGGGUGGUUCUUUUGGUGAUGCAAAUGAUGCCCAGAAAAAUGUGUUUGAUCUAGGCGCAUUUGUGGGGGACUUGACUUUUGAGGAAGAUGCAAGUGGGUAAGUUAAGAAUUG